rnacentral:rRNA from 1 species
GAUGAACGCUGGCGGCGUGCCUAAUACAUGCAAGUCGAGCGAAGCGGGGACGGGUGAGUAACACGUGUAUGACCUCCUAUAAGACUGGGAUAAAUUCGGGAAACCGGUGCUAAAACCGCUACUGAUCGAUGGAUCCGCGCUGCAUUAGCUAGUUGGUAAGGUAACGGCUUACCAAGCCAACGAUGCAUAGCCGACCUGAGAGGGUGACCGGCCACACUGGAACUGAGACACGGUCCAGACUCCGACGGGAGGCAGCAGUAGGGAAUCUUCCGCAAUGGGCGCAAGCCUGACGGAGCAACGCCGCGUGAGUGAAGAAGGCCUUCGGAUUGUAAAACUCUGUUAUUAGGGAAGCGUUACCUACUCAGAAAGCCCCGGCUAACUACGUGCCAGCAGCCGCGGUAAUUC